rnacentral:lncRNA from 1 species
AAGCUUCUCACGCCAUCUCACCACGACACCACGAAGAGAGGUCUGCAUACCAAAGAAGAGGAGCCGGGACAGAGGCAACAGCAUCGUCAGCACGCGGGAGGGCUCAACCUCCACCAUCAACGACGGUAUGCAGAACAGGUAGCUUUGAGCCUUAUGCGGUCAUAAGAAUUGAACAUAACCAGUGGAAGCCUUUAAAAAAACAAAACACGACUUUAUUCAUUGCAGAUAAUAGUUGCAUCCUUUAUGAGGAGAGGUACAAUUUAAAUUCGAGGUUAACCAGUGGAAGCCUAGCUAACAGUACGUUUACGCAUACGUAAACAAAAGCAAGUCUCGCUAAAAGAUCUCAACAUUAAAAUCUUGAACGUCUGUACAUAAGAUUACUUGGUUUCAGAACACAAAUACAAUUAUUUCACCCAUCAAAUUUGAUGCACAAUAUGGAAAAUAAUGUAGCACCCACCAGAUUUCUCAAAAUCUCAAACCAAGAAUAAUUUAGUCACCAAUGUUCACCUUUGAUCAUCCAUCUGAAGGGAAAAACAGUUAUUUCAUUUAGCAUCCGAACAAGCUUUCCACUACUCAUGAGUAAAAAACUUUAUUUUGUAUUCACCUUUGUUCGUCCAAGUGAAAUGAUGCACAGGCUUAAAACUUGGAUUUGCUAACAUAAUGAUUAUCUUGUUUUCCUCUACUGUGGAAUGGUUUAAAUCCCAUAACUUUUUGGUCAAGGUAGUGAUACUAAAACACAGGAAUUAUGUCAAAAGUAAUUCACCAUAUACAUAACAUCAAAUUCUUGUGCAAAAAAUUCACUUGAGACACUAGCUAAUUACCGAACGAGUUCGUACGGCAUCAUCCCAACUCUAACUCCACAAUUUGGGACAUUUUGCCAAAAAAAACGUAGUACUACUAGCUAACAAAGGGGGAGGACCACUCGUUCCAAUAAAGAGGUGUACAGAAUUGCUCGCCUUGUGUCACUGGUGCGAAUUCUGAAGCAUAUGCCAUUUUUUCGCAAAAAGAAGCAUAUGCCAUUUAGUGUUCUCAAAUUCAGAUUCAGAAGUAGUACACACAAAUAGUGUUUUCAAAUAGAAGGGAUGAAAAGCUAGUUUGAAGCAGAAGCAACUCACCUGUAUCAAGAUUUAAGAUGGCAUAUAGAGUAGACCUAUCAUCAAACGACACAAUAAACUGCCAAAGAAGUAGAUACACACCAGCUCCGAUUCAGUCAAGGAGACCAAAUCUCAACCCAGGAAAAGCAAUUUCUCAAGCCAAAUCAACUAACGGAGAACUAAUAGACGCGGGGUUCUCGGAGUAGGGAACUCAUACUGGAUCCGCGGCGGCAGGGCGGAUCCGGCAAGGUCUACACACCCUUUGGCAAGAUGCCGGAGACGGUGCUGCAGAGGGGCCCGGCGGCGAUGCGCUGGGGGCUUAGGGUCUUUUCGGCCAAGGGAGGGACAUGGACGCUGCUGCCUCGCUUCCUGCCACGCCUAAUUUCUCUUUUGUGCUAAGCCAUGGGUGAUGGUGAGUAAUGGAAGGAGGGGCUGCCAUGGUUGGAUUCGAAGGAGAGCGAGAGAAAGAAAAGAUGCGCUCGAAAGAAUGAACCGGCACCCACGGGCUGCGUUCAUGCCCAAACAUGGCAGGGGUAGCAGCCGAUGCUAGCAGAAGACAAAGAAGGAAAAAAAAU